GCUGUGGUGCACGAACGGUUAAACACUCAGCUGCUAACUGAAAGGUUGUUGGUUCAAACCCAACCAGCAGCU
rnacentral:tRNA from 1 species